CAUGCAGUCGAACGCAGUAGCAAUACUGAGUGGCAGACGGGUGAGUAACAUGUGGGAAUCUGCCUUGUGGUUCAGGACAACAUUGGGAAACUGAUGCUAAUACUGGAUAAGCCCUUACGGGGAAAGUUUUAAUGCCAUAAGAUGAGCCCGCAUUUGAUUAGUUAGUUGGUGAGGUAAUGGCUCACCAAGACAAUGAUCAAUAGCUGAUCUGAGAGGAUGAUCAGCCACACUGGGACUGAGACACGGCCCAGACUCCUACGGGAGGCAGCAGUGGGGAAUCUUGCACAAUGGAGGAAACUCUGAUGCAGCGAUGCCGCGUGAGUGAAGAAGGCCUUUGGGUUGUAAAGCUCUUUUGUAGGGGAAGAUAAUGACUGUACCCUAAGAAUAAGGUCCGGCUAACUUCGUGCCAGCAGCCGCGGUAAUACGAAGGGACCUAGCGUAGUUCGGAAUUACUGGGCGUAAAGCGCGCGUAGGCCGUUGAGUUAGUUAAUUGUGAAAUCCCAAAGCUUAACUUUGGAACUGCAAUUAAAACUGCUCGACUAGAGUUUGAUAGAGGAAAGCGGAAUACAUAGUGUAGAGGUGAAAUUCGUAGAUAUUAUGUAGAACACCAGUUGCGAAGGCGGCUUUCUGGAUCAACACUGACGCUGAGGCGCGAAAGUAUGGGUAGCAAAGAGGAUUAGAUACCCUCGUAGUCCAUACC
rnacentral:rRNA from 1 species